CCCAGAUGCUUGAAUCUCCCCAGCUCAGGCACUACACAUGGGAGAAGGAAGCCUUCUGAUGAUUUCAGCCCCAGCCACCACCUAACUAAAACUACAUGAGAAGACUGCAAGCAAAACCUCCAAAACCAUGAGAGCCAGCUCUUCCAGCACAGGUGAGCAGUAACUCACUCCUGAGCAGCAGUGAGGACUCAAACCCAGAGACACAGAGACACAGAGACACAGAGACACAGAGAGGACAGUGCUGCCCAUACCACUUCAAAAACGGCAAUUUAUCUGGCAAUCUUUCCAUGUGCGUCUGAACCCAGACUGGUGAGUGAAUCAGGGGGUUAGAGGGAGGCAAAGAAAAUAAAAAAUUUCAGUGCUCUCUUCCCUUCCUAGAUUCCAAAGCCUCAAUUCUCUGAACACAGCAGCUGAGUUGGUCAAGUCACAGACUGCCAACCAAGGUCACUGCCAUCGCCAAGUUCACCUCAGCUGUCCCAGGUAUUUUCCUCUGGCACUCAAGUACCACGCUUCUUUAUAGAUGCUGAGGACACUUAUUACUGCUCUGCUGAUACUAGAUGUCUGCCCAAAACAUGGAGCAAGGGAACAUCGCUCCACAUUUCUCAGCAGAACAAACCAGACAAACCAACCAUUCGGAAACAAACUCUGCUUGGCUUACAAGAAAAGGAGCUGGGGCAUGGACAGGCUCCAUAACUUACCCAAGAUCUCAGAACUAGUAAGUAGCAGAACCAGAAUAUGAACCCCUACUGUCUGCCUCCGGAGCCCAGGCUCUAAAUGUCACUCUUUCAUUAGACAGCUCUUCUCGUAACACACAGGUUUUUCUUUGAGCACCAAUGGCUCGCUUCAAACCCUGAAGGAAACACUGACAUUUUUCUCCACAGAGAGAAGGAAAUAGUGAUGGCAGUACUUAUUCACAAAGCUGAUCUGAGUCUAUACAGCAGAACAAAUAAGUACCCUAAACAUCUGUCAACCAAAAUUUCCCCAGGAGGACCAAGUGAAACCCACCUCCUUUCUUACUAACCUGGUAGAUUUUCUAACUUACUAAAGGCUGGAACCUCUUUGCAGGUUGUUACAACCAAGCCCUGUGCAUCUGAGAGCAAGAUUCCAGGCUCCAAGUUAUGAGAACCAAGUCAAAUGCUUUCUAGAAUCCAGCUGAUAGGAUUAAAAAAAAAAAAAAAAGCUAUGCAAAUAUUUUUUAAGCAUAAGCAAUAUAUGUUGGCCAAUUUGGGGAAUAAUUUUAUAGAACUUCAGGGAAUCUAGUUGGAAAGACAAGACAUACGCAUUUAAGAGUCAAGUCAAAAU